rnacentral:rRNA from 1 species
UACGAAGGGGGCGAGCGUUGUUCGGAAUUAUUGGGCGUAAAGAGCUCGUAGGCGGUUUGUUGCGUCGGCUGUGAAAUCCCGAGGCUCAACCUCGGGUCUGCAGUCGAUACGAGCAAACUAGAGUGUUGCAGGGGAGACUGGAAUUCCUGGUGUAGCGGUGAAAUGCGCAGAUAUCAGGAGGAACACCGGUGGCGAAGGCGGGUCUCUGGGCAACAACUGACGCUGAGGAGCGAAAGCGUGGGGAGCAAACAGG